GAAUGAUGAAAACAGAAGUAGAAUGGAAUGUAUAGCCCUCAAAAUGAUAAAGUAUCGAACUUCCACUGACUAAUUAUAUUCCUGAGAAUAACAAGCCAUGAUACUGGUCCAUCAAAAAGCAAUAUACCAAUCAGGACCCUGUAUUUCGCUACAAAGAUGAUACAUCUGAUAACCAAUGAUAUAGCCAUUUCUCUCUUUGGG